UUUUCAUUUGUCUCUCUCUCCUCAUUUUCAAAACCAGAGAUAAGCCAUAGCUCACCACCAUCUUCAUCCAUUUCAAAAUCAAAUUCACACAGAUCUUCUCCCAAGUCCUUUUCUCCCCCACAACAGAGAGAGAAAACAUCGGAUGCAAGAUGGCCGUCCCGUUUUCCGACCACCGGCGGCUAAGGCGCGUUCCGUUUUCGUGCGACGGCUAGAGAUUCACCUCCGAUUUAUUGUAGAGAUAAUGGAAAGAUUCAGGGAAAUUGUUAGAGAACUGAGAGAUUCAGGGAGUUUGUAGAGAGAAUGGAGAGAUUUCGUUCUGUGCGGGCGAGAAGGAAAAUGGAUCUAUGCAGGGAGAUCGAGUGACAGCGGCUAGGGUUAAUUAGAUGACAAGGGUGUUUAAACUUGAUGGAAGUGAUGACCAGUUUAGAUCCCCGCUAAGUGAUGAACAAAUCUUCAAAGUUUUAGGGGUUUGAUGUUGGAAAACAUUUUGACACCAGAUCCGGUUACAAGCUGGGAAUCUGUUAAAAAUAAUAGUGAUCAAAACACAAACAUGUCAAGUGGACAUGUUAUUCAACGUGGCUGAACUUAUCUAUUGGGCUGGUUGUAUAGGCUGUUUUGUUGGUAUUUGGGCCUGUCACUCUUAUGGGCUCGUUAUGCUGGGUCAUCUCUUGUUACUGAUUGUUGGGUUGUUAAGUUGUUGCAACAGAUUAGUUGAGCUGGAUAUUUUGGAGGGUGUAAAGUGAAAGUUCAAGGGCUGCGAUUGUCAUCUUCAAAUCUUGUGGGCUUUUGUGUAAAGAUUAUAUGUGCAGCUUUAUAAAAGGACACUCUCUCUCAUUCGGUUAUGGAUAUUCCCCCAAUAUUUCACUCUACCAUUAAUAGUUAUGAAUACAGUUCUUCAUUCUCAGUUUACUCAGUUCUUCGGCGAUUAGAGAAACUGUGAGUCUCCGGCGAUUGAUGUCCAGUGAUUAAAAGAGUUCUGUUUCUCCAGCAACUAGUGUGGUUCAGUGUUAUUUAUUGUUUCUGUUUUCUAUGGUUUGUAUUGUGUUGAUCUGAUGUGAAAGAUCGUCUUGUGUUUCUCUCUAAUUGUGAGAGAUUUUGCUACUGUUGAUUGAUGAUCAUCUGUCGAUGAUCAUCUGUCGAUGAUCAUCUAGGUAUUGUUAAUUACUUUGUCUUGAUUUCUGAUCUUACAUGAUGUGAGAUCUAGGGUUUUGGGGGUGUUUUUGGUUUGGGUUAACUAAUAAGAGUUUUACGUCAUGUUUUGUCGCUUCCUCUGUGUUCUUUGUUAUUUCUGUGUUUGUGUUGUAUUUUUUUAUACCAUUUUGACAUGGUAUCAGAGCUAUUAGCUCAUGAGUCUGAUUUAUGGGAUUUCCGCUGUGCGUUGAGUUCGUUUUUUGGUUUGUCUUUGUCUCGUUUGUUUAAUCCGUUUCUUGUAGUGUGUACAUGUACAUAUCUGGUGGUUUAUAGUUCGGAAUCAAGAUUGGAUAGUUUUUUGUUUUUAUUAGAUUUGAUGAUCUGGAAAGGAUUUUGAUCAGAAAAUUGAGGAUUUUGAUUCUGGUCGAUUAUUCUCUUGGGUUGUAUUGAAAUUGUGGACCAGGUGUUUUUUUUUUUUUUUUUUUUUUUUUUUUUUUUUUUUUAGCGAGUAGUUAUCUGGUUGAUACAGCUUCGCCUUAGGGUUUUUUGGUUUGCAUCUAAAUUGACUGUUAUCUGUUGCUACAGUGAGUAGUUAUCUGGUUGAUAACUUAUUGUUUUCUUGCUUGUUCUCUGUUUGUAUUGUUUAUAUGCUUUGUUUGUUGGAUUGUUCUAUGGUAUAUCAGUCUGUUCUGUUCUGGUACUUUCUUGAGUGUGAUUAUAUGGUUGUAGACAUGUAUAUUGGACAUCUUGGUACACUUAAUCACGGAGAUUUGAAAUGUUUGUGCAGUUAUGAGUUUUUUUUAAAUCUGUCGUUAUUUGCAAAUUAAGCAUGUUCACUUGUACUGGUUGCAAGGUUCAAGUGUUUUGCUCUAUGUGUAGUCUAUAACUAGGUUGUACCAUGAGUGAAAGAUAUUGUUUGGUUUUUUUUUUCGUGUUAUUUGGAGUCUUUGCGUUUUUUUUACUAUUUUUCUAUAAUGAUCGACUAUUAUAAUUUGCAAAUUGAUGUGUGAGAAGGAAUGUGCUAUGUUCAGAAUUAUCAUACAACUUCUUCUAAAAAAUUAAGUUUAUAACAGAGUGUUGUUUUUUAAAUUAGAUUGUUAUCCAGGAUCUUAAAAUUGGGUUAUAAGAACCGUGUCUACUAUGUGUUGUAUGGUUGAGCACUUGGUUCUCAUGUUAGAGGAAGUCAUCUAAAAAAUAAAUAAAUAAAUAAAAAGGUUGAUUACUAACUUUGUUAUAUUUUGUUUUAACUGGAAAACUUUGUUAUAUGUUGUUUAGACAGACUGGAAGUUGUCUUAUGAUUGUUGAAUCAUAUGUUUUGUGUUCAUCAUCUGAUUGUGUUGAAAGUAUUGUCUGAUAUAGAAGUGUGUAUUCAUUUGUUUGUGUAGGUAUGAAUCAUGUGAUUUGUUGUUUUCAGUCUUUAUUCUCUUUAUUCUGAGCUAUGUUGUCUUUUGUGGGUCUCUCGUUUGUCGAAAAUGUUUCUGAAAGAGCUCUGGUUUUCAAGUGUAUUGUCUUGUUAUCUUACUUGCAUCUUUGUGUAGAGGAUUGCUUUUGUAUUCCAUCGUCUUUGUAGAAAACUCUCUGUGUAAUGUGUAUGAUCCUAUAUUCAUGUGCAUCUGAUUGUGUGUAUCAGCUUCUCGUAUUGAACAAGUCUCAUGUUUUGUAAUUUCUUAUUUGAUCUGGUUCAUGUUUGAUUAUGUUCACAUUUUGAAUAUGAUUUUUUUCUUAUGAUUUGUUCUUAUGUUUGAAUUGAUAGUUUUCUUAUGCUAUUUUUACGUUACAGAAAGUUGGGAUAUUUGUCUGUUGUUUGUAUGUUGUUCAUCCAUAUGAGUGUAGAAUUUUGAUAAUUAGAGUUCAUAUCGUUCUCAGUUUGUCUUGUUAUCAAGUUUCUUAAACUCGAAUAAUGGUUUCCUUGUUAGUAUGAGGAAUGUUAUGUGUGUGGUGCGGUUCAAGCGUCAAGUUUUUUUAGAUUGUUAGAUAAAUUUGUACAAGAUUUCUUGGUUUAUUGAAUCUCAUGUAUAUAUGUCUUGGUAAUAGAAUCUUGUAUGUUCAUUGCAUGAUUCUGUAUUUUUCAAUCAUGAUUAACUGUUUGUUUCUCAUUCUAUUUGUGAGGUUGUUUGGUCUGGUGCUUUUGUUAAGUUUAGACAUGUAAAUGUUGUUGAUUUGUAGUGUGAAUCUUUAUCUUGGAUCAUGUGAUUCAAUUCUGUUUUUUGACUGUCGAAAUGUCUCCUCGGCGUUGUCCGUAUGUCUUAUUGUCUAUAGUCUUGUUUGUAUGUUAGUUGAGCUGAGUGGUUCAUCUUUAACCAAUGUUUUUGUCAAGACUAUUUUGUAUAUGUGUGACAGCCUUGUAUAUUGUCUCGUGUGAGAUAUUUUGUUCUGGUUACAAAUUGUGUAAUUUUGUGUUUAAUCAGGAUCUGUUUGGCUGUGUCUUAUAGUCUUGAUUCGUGCCUGUUGUGAUGUUAGCCUUGUAUUUUAUCUCUUUUGCAAGAGAUGUGUUUCUGGUUGUAUAUUUUGCCAGAGUCUGUAUUGGCUAUCAUCGUUGUCUGGUAUUCUUAGUCAUAACAGUUUAUCUGUUUUGUUGACUGUCUGUUGUUGAGGGUUCUUUGAUUGUUGUUGACUUGUUGGUAUUUGUGUUUUCUUCAAAGAAUCUCAUGUUUUGUCUCGUCUUGUAACUUGUCUGAAUUCAUUGUCUGAAUUCUUGUUUGUCUGUGUUAGGGUUAUAUUAUAGAAAUCUUACUUUUGAUUUGUUUUUUUGAGGAGUUGUGUAUAAGGCUCUAUUGCAUGUGAUUCUAGUUAUAUUUUACGUCGUAUAAAUAUAUGGUGUUACUACAGUUCACCUGUUAAAGCUAGUAACUGUCAUAUCAGUUGGUAUGGAUCUUGGAAAAUUGCCGCUGAAGAUCUGUUGGUAGACUUGAUUACAAAAGAUUAGUUGAGCUGGAUAUUUUGGAGGGUGUAAAGUGAAAUUUCAAGGGCUGCGAUUGUCAUCUUCAAAUCUUGUGGGCUUUUGUGUAAAGAUUAUAUGUGCAGCUUUAUAAAAGGACACUCUCUCUCAUUCGGUUAUGGAUAUUCCCCCAAUAUUUCACUCUACCAUUAAUAGUUAUGAAUACAGUUCUUCAUUCUCAGUUUACUCAGUUCUUCGGCGAUUAGAGAAACUGUGAGUCUCCGGCGAUUGAUGUCCAGUGAUUAAAAGAGUUCUGUUUCUCCAGCAACUAGUGUGGUUCAGUGUUAUUUAUUGUUUCUGUUUUCUAUGGUUUGUAUUGUGUUGAUCUGAUGUGAAAGAUCGUCUUGUGUUUCUCUCUAAUUGUGAGAGAUUUUGCUACUGUUGAUGUGAGAUCUAGGGUUUUGGGGGUGUUUUUGGUUUGGGUUAACUAAUAAGAGUUAAACGUCAUGUUUUGUCGCU